GUAGUCGAGGCCGAGUGGAUAACGCGAUGGACUAAAAUUCCAUAGGGAUCUUCGAGCGUAGGUUUGAAUCCUACCAACUACG